rnacentral:rRNA from 1 species
UACGUAGGGUGCAAGCGUUACUCGGAAUUACUGGGCGUAAAGCGUGCGCAGGCGGUGAUGUAAGACAGUUGUGAAAUCCCCGGGCUCAACCUGGGAACUGCAUCUGUGACUGCAUCGCUGGAGUGCGGCAGAGGGGGAUGGAAUUCCGCGUGUAGCAGUGAAAUGCGUAGAUAUGCGGAGGAACACCGAUGGCGAAGGCAAUCCCCUGGGCCUGCACUGACGCUCAUGCACGAAAGCGUGGGGAGCAAACAGG